rnacentral:rRNA from 1 species
UACGUAGGGUGCGAGCGUUAAUCGGAAUUACUGGGCGUAAAGCGUGCGCAGGCGGUUUUAUAAGCCAGAUGUGAAAUCCCCGGGCUCAACCUGGGAAUGGCAUUUGGGACUGUAAGACUAGAGUAUGGCAGAGGAGACUAGAAUUCCUGGUGUAGCAGUGAAAUGCGUAGAUAUCAGGAGGAAGACCGAUGGCGAAGGCAGGUCUCUGGGUCAAUACUGACGCUCAUGCACGAAAGCUAGGGGAGCAAAUGGG